AGAGUUGAUCCUGGCUCAGGACGAACGCUGGCGGCGUGCCUAAUACAUGCAAGUAGAACGCUGAAGACUUUAGCUUGCUAGAGUUGGAAGAGUUGCGAACGGGUGAGUAACGCGUAGGUAACCUGCCUAUUAGCGGGGGAUAACUAUUGGAAACGAUAGCUAAUACCGCAUAACAGUAUUUAACACAUGUUAGAUGCUUGGAAGAUGCAAAUGCAUCACUAGUAGAUGGACCUGCGUUGUAUUAGCUAGUUGGUGGGGUAACGGCCUACCAAGGCGACGAUACAUAGCCGACCUGAGAGGGUGAUCGGCCACACUGGGACUGAGACACGGCCCAGACUCCUACGGGAGGCAGCAGUAGGGAAUCUUCGGCAAUGGGGGCAACCCUGACCGAGCAACGCCGCGUGAGUGAAGAAGGCUUUCGGAUCGUAAAGCUCUGUUGUAAGAGAAGAACGUGUGUGAGAGUGGAAAGUUCACACAGUGACGGUAACUUACCAGAAAGGGACGGCUAACUACGUGCCAGCAGCCGCGGUAAUACGUAGGUCCCGAGCGUUGUCCGGAUUUAUUGGGCGUAAAGCGAGCGCAGACGGUUAUUUAAGUCUGAAGUGAAAGCCCUCAGCUCAACUGAGGAAUUGCUUUGGAAACUGGAUGACUUGAGUGCAGUAGAGGAAAGUGGAACUCCAUGUGUAGCGGUGAAAUGCGUAGAUAUAUGGAAGAACACCAGUGGCGAAGGCGGCUUUCUGGACUGUAACUGGCGUUGAGGCUCGAAAGUGUGGGUAGCAAACAGGAUUAGAUACCCUGGUAGUCC
rnacentral:rRNA from 1 species